CAUCACAAAUUUUUUUAUACACUACAUUAAGAAAACCCUUUUCUAUUCAUCUGCUGGGUGGUACAAAUCACAUAAAUUAACAUAUUAUUAUUUAUUAUAAGUUAUCACGAAUCAAUUGAUUUCUGGACGAGUUGAACACUUCAAAAGGCCGUGGUUCAGAUAUUUCUGACAAUUUCCGAAGGUAGUGCUCUCAGGCAAUACGGCUAUCACUUUAAAUUUUAAAGAAUGUUUUUUCAGACAUCUGGUUUUAUGAAGAAAUAAAUACGAAUAUUAGAAAUAAAACGCAUAUUGUUUAUAGUUGUGACCAAAAAUUUAGCUAUAUUAUAAAAAUAAGAUAUAUAUAGUUGAUAUAGAAUCAUUUCAACAUUUUCUUCUCGAAUGUCCCGUCUUUCCCAGAUCAAGCCUAAAACAUCUUGGAUAUCACUCUUGUAGACAUCUAGGGGAAUGAAUAACGAAAAUAGUCCUAAAGCACCUUAGAAGAUUUGCGUUAGAUUCAAGACGCUAUGACGAUAGCUUUAUCCAACUAUAUGAGUGUUUCAUCUAGCUUCCCAACGCUCCUGCCAUUUUGAGGGAUCAGCCAUCUUACUUAACCUAAACUAUAAAAACUAGUGGACAGCACAGUGAAACCUUAUAUCUGCGGUAAUUGAACAAACAGGCUCUGGUUAAGCUUGAAGUUGAAAUAAAGUGUAUUGAUAAAUUUUGAUUCCGCAUAUGCUGCUGAUUUUCGUUGAACAUAUACCAUACUUGAGUGAAUUUAUAUAUUUUAGUUGUACUUAUGGAUAACCCUAACGUGAGCAGAUGCGCUCCAGUUAAACAUGCAAAGCCCCAAAAGCAACACUUGCCACAUGCUGCAUGCAACACUCGUACUCUAUAUAAUAUGCAAUAAAUUCGUUGAGCGGAAAUGCUCGCAGAAAGAGAAUUUCGUUGGCAAGGUCCUACGUAGAAACGCUGAGCUGUCAGCAGAGUUUAUACGAAUGUUAUGUGAAUAUUUUUUGGUGCGCUUGCAAAUUAAUAAAUAUGAACUUGUGUAUGCAUAUUUACCUUUCUCUAUGAUGAUGCUGUCGAUUGGAUAUCCUGCCACAGGACAUUUGAGAAAAAAGGUCUUUCCCGCCACUGCAGAUAGUUUCGGCAUCAUGCGCACAUAUGGCAUACCUGUAAGUGAAAAAGAGAAUAUACCAUAUAUUUGAGUAACCUUGCAGUUUUCAGGUAUUUUAGCGCAUCCUGUCAAUCCGUCUGGGGUGUCAUAUGUGCUUUUAUUAAUAUUUGUAUGUAUGCGGGUUUAUAUUUCUAUUAGUUCCACUCACCGUAGAUGUUUAAGCGCGCCGAAUGUGAUGCUUCGCCUGCUCGCGAAAUUGCUUUGCACUCGUAUUCGCCACCGUCUUCUGACUUCACUGCAGAUAUGUUGACAUGGCUUAUAACAUCACCAAACAUUGUGACAUAUUGUCCAAUCAUGAGACGGUCGUUCUGUGGGGAAAUGCCAAGUGUGGAAUUUAAUUAAAGAUUUUAAAGCUUGCUAUCGUGUAUAAAAAACAAAUACAUACUCAAGUGUUAAUAUUAAAAUAAUAUAGCGAUGUGAAUAAAGGAACUAGAACAAAAUACAAAAUAUCCUAAAUUUUUUGCAUUAGAAAAUAAGAUGUUUACAGUAUAUUAUAAUACUAAAUAAUUUAUAAUAAAAUUAAAUGGUCACUAGAGGACUGAAUUUUUUGAUUA